rnacentral:rRNA from 1 species
UACGUAGGGUGCGAGCGUUGUCCGGAAUUAUUGGGCGUAAAGAGCUUGUAGGUGGUUUGUCGCGUCUGCUGUGAAAAUCCGGGGCUCAACCCCGGACUUGCAGUGGGUACGGGCAGACUAGAGUGUGGUAGGGGAGACUGGAAUUCCUGGUGUAGCGGUGGAAUGCGCAGAUAUCAGGAGGAACACCGAUGGCGAAGGCAGGUCUCUGGGCCAUUACUGACACUGAGGCACGAAAGCGUGGGGAGCGAACAGG